rnacentral:rRNA from 1 species
GAUGAACGCUGGCGGCGUGCUUAACACAUGCAAGUCGAACGGAAAGGCCCAAGCUUGCUUGGGUACUCGAGUGGCGAACGGGUGAGUAACACGUGGGUGAUCUGCCCUGCACUUCGGGAUAAGCCUGGGAAACUGGGUCUAAUACCGGAUAGGACGAUGGUUUGGAUGCCAUUGUGGAAAGUUUUUUCGGUGUGGGAUGAGCUCGCGGCCUAUCAGCUUGUUGGUGGGGUAAUGGCCUACCAAGGCGUCGACGGGUAGCCGGCCUGAGAGGGUGUACGGCCACAUUGGGACUGGGAUACGGCCCAGAAUCCUACGGGAGGCAGCAGUGGGGAAUAUUGCACAAUGGGCGCAAGCCUGAUGCAGCGACGCCGCGUGGGGGGAUGACGGCCUUCGGGUUGUAAACUCCUUUCGCUAGGGACGAAGCGUUUUUGUGACGGUACCUGGAGAAGAAGCACCGGCUAACUACGUG